UACGGAGGGGGCGAGCGUUAUUCGGAAUUAUUGGGCGUAAAGGGCGCGUAGGCGGCCUUGCAAGUCAAAGGUGAAAUCCCUCGGCUCAACUGAGGAACUGCCUUUGAAACUGCAUGCUUGAGGCCGGGAGGGGGUAGCGGAAUUCCCAGUGUAGAGGUGAAAUUCGUAGAUAUCGGGAGGAACACCAGUGGCGAAGGCGGCGAUCUGGGAAGAUACUGACGCUGAGGUGCGAAAGCGUGGGGAGCAAACAGG
rnacentral:rRNA from 1 species